ACUCCUACGGGAGGCAGCAGUGGGGAAUAUUGCACAAUGGGCGCAAGCCUGAUGCAGCCAUGCCGCGUGUGUGAAGAAGGCCUUCGGUUGUAAAGUCACUUUCAGUCGUGAGGAAGGUAGUGUAGUUAAUAGCUGCAUUAUUUGUACGUUAGCGACAGAAGAAGCACCGGCUAACUCCGUGCCAGCAGCCGCGGUAAUACGGAGGGGUGCGAGCGUUAAUCGGAAUUACUGGGCGUAAAGCGCAUGCAGGUGGUUUGUUUAAGUACAGAUGUGAAAGCCCGGGGCGUCAACCUCGGAAUAGCAUUUGAAACUGGCAGACUAGAGUACUGUAGAGGGGGUAGGAAUUUCAGGUGUAGCGGUGAAAUGCGUAGAGAUCUGAAGG
rnacentral:rRNA from 1 species